rnacentral:rRNA from 1 species
AGAACGAACGCUGGCGGCGUGGAUUAGGCAUGCAAGUCGAACGCGAAAGAGGGGGUAACUCCUCGAGUAGAGUGGCGAACGGGUGAGUAACGCGUGAAGAACCUGCCUUCAACAGGGGGAUAACACUCCCAACGGGGUGCUAAUACCGCAUGAGACCACGGGGUCGCAUGGCCCUGAGGUCAAAGGUGGCCUCUAUUUAUAAGCUACCGGUUGAAGAUGGCUUCGCGUCCCAUUAGCUAGUUGGCGGUGUAAAAGACCACCAAGGCGACGAUGGGUAGCUGGUCUGAGAGGAUGGUCAGCCACACUGGGACUGAGAUACGGCCCAGACUCCUACGGGAGGCAGCAGUGGGGAAUCUUGCGCAAUGGGCGAAAGCCUGACGCAGCCAUGCCGCGUGAAUGAUGAAGGUCUUAGGAUUGUAAAGUUCUUUCGCUCGUGACGAUGAUGACGGUAACGAGAGAAGAAGCCCCGGCUAACUUCGUGCCAGCAGCCGCGGUAAUACGAAGGGGGCUAGCGUUGUUCGGAAUUACUGGGCGUAAAGCGCGCGUAGGCGGUUUUGCAAGCCAGAGGUGAAAUGCCUGAGCUCAACUUAGGAAUUGCCUUUGGGACUGCGAGGCUUUGAGGACGAGAGAGGUGAGUGGAAUUCCCAGUGUAGAGGUGAAAUUCGUAGAUAUUGGGAAGAACACCGGUGGCGAAGGCGGCUCACUGGCUCGUUUCUGACGCUGUAGCGCGAAAGCGUGGGGAUCAAACAGGAUUAGAUACCCUGGUAGUCCACGCCGUAAACGAUGAGUGCUAGGCGUCGGCACGCUUGCGUGUCGGUGCCGCAGCUAACGCGUGAAGCACUCC